CCUGAGUCCUCAGGUGGGGGAUGGCUCACCGAGGCAUGUGAUGUAUGGCUGGUCUGUGGAGUUCACCUGCAGACAUGUCUUAAACUACCAAAUAAGAUCAUUUGGAAAUUGUCAUUUGGUGGAACAGGGACAGAAUCUGCAUCAAAGGACUCAACACCAGUAUACCACCAUAAGUUUUCAACAAUAUAGGAGUGGCAUCAUGAAAGUUCCAGGUGAAUGAUCACCACUCGUGAGGAGCACCAUGGGAGUGGUGGUGGUGACAGCUCCCCAAGCCUGGGCUCAUUCAGCCAGGUGCUGGCUGGCCUGGUGGGCACAACGGCCGAAGUGGCCG